rnacentral:rRNA from 1 species
UACGUAGGCAGCAAGCGUUGUUCGGAGUUACUGGGCGUAAAGGGUGUGUAGGCGGUUGCUUAAGUUUGGUGUGAAAUCUCCCGGCUCAACUGGGAGGGUGCGCCGAAUACUGAGUGACUCGAGUGCGGGAGAGGAAAGUGGAAUUCCUGGUGUAGCGGUGAAAUGCGUAGAUAUCGGAAGGAACACCUGUGGCGAAAGCGGCUCACUGGACCAUUACUGACGCUGAUGCACGAAAGCUAGGGGAGCAAACAGG